AUGGCAAUGCAAGACCAUCCUUCUCCGUGUGGCCACCACCCCCAAAUCCUCUUGGAUAAAAAAUGUUUAGUGGGCGAGUUGAAAAAUUCCACUACCGCAAAAUCCAAGAAUAGCAAAGGGGUUCACUUGGAGGUUUCUUUUGAAGCAGUUGACCCUCCAGCCAUCUCACUGUGCCUGGUCAGCUGCGUUGAUCAGACCGGGGAUCGCUUGACAGCACCGCCUCGUAUACUUGGUGUAACUGGAGGCUUUGUACUGCUGGCUAUCACCUUCUCGGACAGUGUCAACCGUUACUUGCGGUUCAUCGACUAUUUUGUUUACAAAGCAGGGCCCGAUUUCGCCUCUCUUCAUCUUCUUGCAAGGCCAUACCCGUCUUCUUUUUCGCCAAACAUGGCUGCCAUCUUGCCUGUUAGUGAUAACAGUGAAGACUUUGCUGUCAUUUUCCCACAUGUUGAAUAUUUCAGACUUGAGUCUCGCGAACAUUACACACUCCACAUAUAUCGAUCUGACACGAAUGAUUGGCACUCUCAGGUCGCUUGUAUCGCUGAGGAUAAUGAGACAAGGAAUGCCAGGGAUAAGCUAUUGCUUCAUAAUACCAUGAGCGUGGCAUAUGCAGAAAAGGGUAUCAUAGGUUGGAUUGAUCUCUGGUGGGGAAUUCUCUUAUGCAAUGUUUUGGAUAAAAAGCCUACCAUCCGUUUUGUUCCGUUGCCAGUUCCGGAACCGUGUGAUACGUCUGAGUUCCAUUUGAUGUUUGAGAAUCUCACUCCAAGACCACACCGUCAUGUGACGAUAUUCAAUGAUUUGAUCAAGUGUGUUGAGUUAGAUUUUCAUGUGCAAGAUGCUUUCUUCAACAUGAAGCGAGCAAAGGAUUAUGGCUGGAUGGCUAAAACAUGGACUAGAUCAAUUUAUUCAGAUCGUCUCCGUGUGCUGCGGAAGAAGCAGAAUCGCAUCGCGCAGAUGGAGGAGUCCGUCGCUGCCGGCAAGAUGCUUAACCAGGAGCAGAAGGAGCUCAUGCACUCCAAGCCCGUCAUCGCCGCGCUCAUUGACGAGCUUGAGCGCCUCCGCGUACCACUCUCCACUGCUCUCACCAAGGAGCUCUCCACCGUCCCUGCACCUGCUGCCGGUUCCUCAUCCUUUGGCUCCGAUUUGUCCAUCCAGGACCUCCUCGCGCUCAUCUACUUCGGCUCCCUUUUUUAUGUCAAGUCACCGAACGAGUUCAUCGCCACCAUGGUUGCGCGCAAGAACGAACGGAGCAGCUGCAUCACCCACGGCUACGUAUGGGAUGAUACCGUGGACCUGCUCGUGGAGAACGACCUUGACGCAGUAUCUGCUGUGGCGGCCCUUGCCGCGGCUCGCCCUUCUUCCGCAGAUGGUGUCUCCCACCAUGACGCACUCCAGGCCUGUGCCCAUCAUGCCCGCCUAUGGCUAACCCGUGCUGAUGCGCCGAUCCACCCUGGCUCCUCUGUUACAUAUGCUGCGGUGAGGUCCAAGUUAGACAGGAUCAUGGCAUCAGACUACUACACGGCACCUGCAGUUGCUGGGAACCAUGGAGCUGAAGGUCUGCAGGCACAGAUGAGCAUGACCGACUCACCAGAGGCACCAUCACUCAAGGAGACCCUAGCUGCUGAAAAUCACAAGUGCUACCACUAUCUAGUUCGUUGCGCAAGCUUGAUUGUUGAGAUAGAGGACGAGGAAGAUUCCUCGCAUGCCAUAGAAAUCGACAAUGAUCAUCAGUCUAAUGCAGCCGAUGUGCAAAAUGUGGAUGGUAAAACCCUGGUGAACCCUCGUGUGGAAUAUCGCGUGGCUGAGGCAGAGCAGGAGAAAUUUGAUGUGAAAGAACAAGAUCAGAUAACCAGCGAGGUGGUGAUCGUGGCUGGAGGGGGGCCUACCCUAAUGGCCGCAGCGGGCAUGGAGGCGGCCGUGGCAUGGGCAGCAGAUACGAGAAUGGGCGUGGAGGUGGUGGUGGUGGCGGCCGUGGCAUGGGCAAACAGCCGGGGUGGUGGUGGCACCGGUGGGUACCAGAAUAGCCGGGGUGGUGGUGGUGGCGGCGGGUACUACAACAACGACGAUGGGUACUACCAGCCGAGGAACUUGAACAACAGGGGCAGGGGCGCAGGGAGGUGGCCACGCGGACACCGAGAGGAUUGA
rnacentral:rRNA from 1 species